UUUUUGUUUUAUUUUUGUUUUUAAACACCUUUUAAAAAUAGAACCAUAAAACCUUGCCACUCUAAGAUUUUGGCUUAAUUGAAUAUAUUAACCUGUCCAUGCAGAAAUAACACCAACAUUUAGAAAUACUAGGGGAACGAAUUGCAGUUUUUAUAACAAUUUUUUUAAGUUUGGUAUUAAAAAACAUUCAAAUGUCUCUGUCCCUUAUAAUUGAUAAUCAUGUUUAAAGUGCAGUCAUUUGUGGUUAUAAUGUUUUGCUUGCUCCCAUUACUCAAUUCCUCAUAAGGAAAUUGAGGGAUUGGAUGGAAUCCCAAAUUUAUAUAAAAGUUCUGUUAAGUUGUAUUAAAAAUAGACAUAUAAAAAAUACCUUUUACUUCUUGUUGGUUAGACCGUAAAGUGCAUGUGUUCUGUUGCCCUUGGAACUGCUCAAUUUCCAGACAGCUUUACAGUUAGUGGAGAAGGUGGCUUAAUGCAGCACUUGGGCAUUCCUACUUCACACAGGGAGGCUCGGGCGCGGCCUUCAGAGCAGGUGUCAGGAAUGCUGACUGGGUCUGUGAGCUCCAGGUAGAUGUUUCCAUCACUUGUUCCACUGUGCUGACACUGUUUUCCUUACCUAUUCCCCCAGUUCCCAGCUUCCUCCUCUGUUAUGCAUUUUCUUCACAGUGCAGCUUGCAGCCCCUUGCUAAAAAUGAUUAUAAAGCUCUGUGUAGUGUUAAGCUUUAUUGUGAUUACAUGUAUGUUUCUUUUUUUUUUUUUUAAGCAGACCCAUACCUUUCCAGGGUAUUGUACAGAAUACAAUAUAAACUUUGAAUUUUUUUCCAUUUCUUUUGUUCUGUGUAAAGACUUUAGAAGUCUAAUUCAGAGGUGGGCCAAUUCAGAAUUGACUGUAAUUGAACACAGGCUAAAAGUAUUUAUGGGAGGAGUGACAUAUAGCAUGAGUUAUCUGGUUUUUGUAGAAUAUUUUAAGUCUUCAUUUGCAGUUGAUGUAACAUUCAUGUCUUAAAUUUACACAAUAAAGCAGUCCUGUUCAAUUUGUUUUUU
rnacentral:lncRNA from 1 species